rfam:Oryza sativa Japonica Group DNA, chromosome 1, cultivar: Nipponbare, complete sequence.
AAUAAGUGCAGUUUUGUACUGCUCAUGUCUAAGUUUUAUUUUAAUUUUUAUUAUUAUUAGUACUUUUAUUGUUAGUAGAUGAUAAAAUAUUAAUAAUACUUUACGUGUGACUAGUUUUUUUUAAAAAAAAUUCAUAAAUUUUUUAAAUAAAACGGACGGUCAAAUGCUAGAUACGGAUUACCACGGCUACACUUAUU